UACGUAGGGGGCAAGCGUUGUCCGGAAUUAUUGGGCGUAAAGCGCGCGCAGGCGGUCUCUUAAGUCUGAUGUGAAAGCCCACGGCUCAACCGUGGAGGGUCAUUGGAAACUGGGGGACUUGAGUGUAGGAGAGGAAAGUGGAAUUCCACGUGUAGCGGUGAAAUGCGUAGAUAUGUGGAGGAACACCAGUGGCGAAGGCGACUUUCUGGCCUAUAACUGACGCUGAGGCGCGAAAGCGUGGGGAGCAAACAGG
rnacentral:rRNA from 1 species